UCAUGAGUCAUUUGCUAGUUGACUUUCGCGAAGGAAGAACCUCGUCUGUUCGUGCAAUUGAUUGGAAUACAACACGUGGUGAAUCUAGCUCUUCAGUGAAACUUAAAUGGAAUUAUUCUACAACUCACGAAAUUGAAGUACGAUUACUAACCACACCAGACACCACCCGCUCCCAUAUCAACGCAUUUUGUAAGGUCAGCCAUCUUGUCUUGCUUCUUCUCCUAUCCCAUUUGUUGCGAAUUUCUUAAAUGGAGCGUAUGCCUAAAAGA